CUUAUCAAGUCUUCUCCACAACAGAUAUCUGUGACGAUAAGGAAAUUAUCCUGGCACUCUGGAGAAUAUGCUAAGCAGGAAGCUUCAGUAUAAAUAAUACAUAGAUCUUAAUGUUUAUUCUUGUCCAAUGAUAAUAUGACAGUGUAGG
ensembl:misc_RNA